rnacentral:rRNA from 1 species
AAACCCCUUUUCUCAGGGAAGAAGCUCUGACGGUACCUGAGGAAUCAGCAUCGGCUAACUCCGUGCCAGCAGCCGCGGUAAUACGGAGGAUGCAAGCGUUAUCCGGAAUUAUUGGGCGUAAAGCGUCCGUAGGUGGUUCAUCAAGUCAGUUGUCAAAAGCGUGGGCUUAACCCCAUACCGGCGAUUGAAACUGGUGGACUAGAGUUGGUAGGGGUCAGGGGAAUUCCCAGUGUAGCGGUGAAAUGCGUAGAUAUUGGGAAGAACACCGGUGGCGAAAGCGCCUGACUGGGCCUGAACUGACACUGAGGGACGAAAGCUAGGGGAGCGAAAGGGAUUAGAUACCCCUGUAGUCCCUAGCCUGUAAACGAUGGGGUACUAGGUGUUGCCCGUAUCGACCCGGGCAGUGCCGUAGCUAACGCGUUAAGUAUCCCGCCUGGGGAGUACGCUCGCAAGAGUGAAACUCAAAGGAAUUGACGGGGCCCGCACAAGCGGUGGAGUAUGUGGUUUAAUUCGAUGCAACGCGAAGAACCUUACCAGGGUUUGACAUGUCCGGAACCUCGGUGAAAGCUGAGGGUGCCUUCGGGAACCGGAACACAGGUGCUGCAUGGCUGUCGUCAGCUCGUGUCGUGAGAUGUUGGGUUAAGUCCCGCAACGAGCGCAACCCUUGUCGUUAGUUGCCAGCAUGAAGAUGGGCACUCUAGCGAGACUGCCGGUGACAAACCGGAGGAAGGUAAGGAUGACGUCAAGUCAGCAUGGCCCUUACAUCCUGGGCUACACACGUACUACAAUGCUACGGACAAAGGGCAGCCAACCUGCGAAGGAGAGCAAAUCCCGUAAACCGUGGCACAGUUCAGAUUGCAGGCUGCAACUCGCCUGCAUGAAGGCGGAAUCGCUAGUAAUCGCCGGUCAGCAUACGGCGGUGAAUACGUUCCCGGG